rnacentral:rRNA from 1 species
UACGUAGGGACCAAGCGUUGUUCGGAUUUACUGGGCGUAAAGGGCGCGAUAGGCGGCGUGGUAAGUCACUUGUGAAAUCUCUGAGCUUAACUCAGAACGGCCAAGUGAUACUGCUGUGCUAGAGUGCAGAAGGGGCAAUCGGAAUUCUUGGUGUAGCGGUGAAAUGCGUAGAUAUCAAGAGGAACACCGGUGGCGAAGGCGGCUCUCUGGGCCUUACCUGACGCUGAGGAGCGAAAGCGUGGGUAGCGAACAGG